rnacentral:lncRNA from 1 species
UAAGAUGAUUUAUGCCAAAACCCUAGAUUCUCAAAUUUGUUCCAUUAAAGCUCAAGGAAAUAAAUUCUCGCAAGUUUUAGUAUGGAGAAUACUUUUGCUAAUACAAAUUUAACAAAACUCGAGGAGAUAUUUGUAAAUUCUUUUUAUCUCCUUCUAAAUGAGAGUCCAUCACUGAUGCUUAUAUCUGCAGUCUUGACAUGUGUUGUUUAGCAAUCAAAGAGUUGUAAAAAUUUUUGAGGGAUUAGAAAUUCUUCUGGAGGCAUUGGUGUCAGAAGAUCUACAUGUAAAUAUUGUGGUUUUGCUAGACGCAUGGUAAAUAAAUGAUACAAGAAGUAUAAUUGUCUUCCUAAGUCCAGGAAUUCUGUCAAUCAGUGUAGUACUCAAACUACAGCAAUAGAGUCUAAUCUAACUAAUUCCA